rnacentral:misc_RNA from 1 species
AAGUCGUAACAAGGUUUCCGUAGGUGAACCUGCGGAAGGAUCAUUAAAAGUAAUUGGUUAUAAUAUCCUGUAUCAACUGCAAAACCCAUUCGAGUACCUUGCUGUGCUUCCAUGGGGCUGAUUUGGUCACUCUUGUGGCGAAUCCCAAGAGAGUCCCGAUGGGGGUUAUCUUGAAAUUCGAACCAAUGUCUUCUGUCUAAAUGUUAAAAAUCAAAUGUUAAAAA